rnacentral:rRNA from 1 species
UGGGGAAUAUUGGACAAUGGGCGCAGCCUGAUCCAGCAAUGCCGCGUGAGUGAUGAAGGCCUUAGGGUUGUAAAGCUCUUUCGCACGCGACGAUGAUGACGGUAGCGUGAGAAGAAGCCCCGGCUAACUUCGUGCCAGCAGCCGCGGUAAUACGAAGGGGGCUAGCGUUGUUCGGAAUUACUGGGCGUAAAGGGCGCGUAGGCGGCCUGUUUAGUCAGAAGUGAAAGCCCCGGGCUCAACCUGGGAAUAGCUUUUGAUACUGGCAGGCUUGAGUUCCGGAGAGGAUGGUGGAAUUCCCAGUGUAGAGGUGAAAUUCGUAGAUAUUGGGAAGAACACCGGUGGCGAAGGCGGCCAUCUGGACGGACACUGACGCUGAGGCGCGAAAGCGUGGGGAGCAAACAGGAUUAGAUACCCUGGUAGUCCACGCCGUAAACGNUGAAUGCUAGACGUCGGGGUGCAUGCACUUCGGUGUCGCCGCUAACGCAUUAAGCAUUCCGCCUGGGGAGUACGGCCGCAAGGUUAAAACUUAAAGGAAUUGACGGGGUCAUAGCUGUUUCCU